CAAACACCCACUCAAUCCCUAUAUAUAUUGCUUGGAGGCAAGUCUCUCCCAAACCAUCUCUCCGAAACCCUCUCUGCUCUCUCUCUCUCUCUCAUCACCCAUGAUCUUGUUCAGGGUGUUGUAGUACAGAGAAAUUGUGUUGUACAGAAACCGCCGCUCAGCACCACCGCCGCAAGGUUCGAUUUCUGCUCCUCCCCUUCUCUCUCUGUUUUCGUUUUUGUGGGUGUCUGUUUUUGUGUUUCCCUUGCUGCAAUUCCCCUUCUCUCUCAGUGGAUUUGAGGUUUUGAUUUUUGUGAUUCUUCGCAAGGUUCGAUUUCCUUUCUCUUUCGUAGAUUAGUUUAGUGUGUGCCAACACCAAUAAAUAGAAUCUAUUUAUUACUUCUUUUAAUUAAUUUCUUGAUUUCAUUCCAGUAGACCAAUUUUUAUUUUUACGAAAUUCAACUGCACCGCCGCUGCUCAUCAUCAUCAUCAGUCUACUGCCACCAUUGAAGAGGAAGAUCCAAUGUGUUCAUACACUAAAUGUGUGUCGGUACCCAAUUUAUUGCUCACUGUAAUAGUUUUGUUGAGUAAAAUUUGUGACAAUUCUUAACCAAUCUGAUUGCAUAGGUAAUUUCCUGACUGCUGAAUUAACCAGAAAAAAUUUCCUGACUUCCAAUCUUUGUGCUCAGUACUCUAUUGCAAUUAUCAAGAUCCAAACAUAGCAUAAGAAAAGCCUAAUUGCCCGUUAAGUUCUGUUUGGAAGGAAAUGAAUUGAAAUGCAAUUGGAGAUGACAACCGCAACAGAAAAGUUUGGCAAGAGAUCAAUUGCAGACACGGUUUUCAAAAUUUUAGGUAGGAGUGUACCAGGAAGUGCAACAAAUUCUAAGAAGAUUUUAGGGUAUGUUAGAAGGGAUUCUGCUAAAAAAAUUGGUAUCUAUCGAGUGGAUGGAAUUGGAAAGACUACUCUGCUCAAAGCGUUGAUCACUUGUCCUGAAAUAACUACCCUUUUCAACAUUGUCAUCUAUGUGAGUUUCUCUAGAUAUUGUUGGAGCAGAAGAACGAUACAAAAUGAAAUCGCUAGACAUUUGUCAUUACAACACGAAAACUUUGGGACUGAUGAUGAAAUUGCAGAGAAGCUACUUGAGGUUUUGAGAAGCAGAAAGUUUAUGUUGCUUUUGGAUGAUGUUUGGAGCGGAUUGAUUUGGAUGCGAUUGGAGUUCCUUGCAAGGAUUUGAGAAAUGGUUUGAAGAUAGUAUUGGCAGCUUGACAUGUUGAUGUCUAUUGUGCCAUGUCAGUUGAUAAGGUUCUUGAAAUGGAGGUUUUCUCUCCUGAAGAAGCUUGGACGUUGUUUCGUGAUCAAGUAGGUGGAGUUAUUGUUGAUUCCCCAAAUAUCCAGCCUAUUGCUGAAGCCAUAGUUAACGAUUGUGGCGGUUUACCACUCAAUCUCAUUGUCAUUGGAAGAGCCUUGAGAAAUCAAAACAAUGCUAUAGUGUGGAAGCUCACAUUGCAUGACUACCAAUCUCUCGGUGGACUUAAAACACGUGAUAGUGAAGCUUUAAUUCGACAGUUGAAAUUUAGUUAUGACCGCUUGAAGGGGCAUGCUACUAAGUGUUGCUUCCUAUAUACCGCAUUGUAUCAAGAAGGUUAUGAAAUUAGGGUUUCUGAAUUGGUAAAGCAUUGGGUUGAAGAAGGGUUGAUUGCUGGGCACCUAGUAUAUGCAAAUGAAAAGGAGCUUGGAAUAGUUAAAGAUCAUGUGGAUGCUUUUCUGUUGGAGUCAUCUGAUGAUGGUGUUUUGUCAAGAUGCAUAGAGUGAUUAGGGACCUAGCAUUGUGGAUAAUCUCAACAAAACCGGAGCAUUGUCAGUUUUUGUCAAAAAUUGGUCCAAGAAAGGAGGAAUUGUUGAAGCAAAGAGGUAUGGUCUUGUCAAGGGCUUUUGCAGGGCUGAAAGAGCCACCGCCAGAGAAAGAAUGGAGAGAAAUUGAGAUGAUGUUCUUGAUGGGGAACAAGUUCACUAGGGUGCCUGAGAAACUGAGUUGUCCCCAACUUGUGAUAUUGUCCCUCCAAAGCAAUAUCAACCUGACAACGAUACCCGAGUCCUUCUUUGAUGGUGUGCCUUCUCUUCAAGUUCUAAAUUUAUCAAACACCGGAAUUAAAUCAUUGCCAACAACCUAGUUUAGGCUGUGUAAACUUCAAGCACUAAUCUUACGUGAUUGUUUAAACCUCGUUGAGAUCCCGCCUCAAAUUGGAGAUCUAGAACGCCUCGAGGUGCCUGAUCUCCAAGGUACAGAGAUUAAUAGACUCCUCAAUGAGAUUGGAAAUUUGUCUCUUCUCAAGCUCUUGCGAGUAUCUUUCUACGGUCCAAUUGACUGUUGCGAGCAAGUCGAGAAGCUUCCACGAUCUCUCCUAUCACAUGAAUCUAUGUCGAGACUCGUUGCAUUAAAAGAACUAAGCAUUAUUGUGGGAUCCUAGGUGGAAUGAAAGUAUUGAAUCAGUCACAGUAGAGGUGGCCAUUUUGAAGGGCUUGAGUAAUCUUCAUUUCUACUUUCUAGAUGCAGACUGUCUUUAAUUCUAUAUCCGAAGGAGUACAUCAUGGACCCUAAAUCGCUUGAGCAAGUUCAAAUUUAUCGUUGGCCUCAACAAAUAUCAACCAUGUUGUAUCAGAGGUCCCAAAAGACGUGGAAUUCGAUUAUGAUAGAGAAGAUCAGUGCUUGAGAUAUGUGAAUGGCAAUACCAUACCUGACUUGAUUGUAAGAGUGCUCAGUCGUGCCAAUGCGUUGUAUUUGGAUAAUCACUUCACAAUCACUAGUCUUUCGGAGUUUGGUGUUGACAAUAUCAAGGAAUUGAGAUUUUGUAUAGUGAGCGAAUGUCACGGUAUUCAAUCACUCAUAGAUGGCAAGGAAGACGAAACUGAAAGUAUCCUACCGUUCAUAGAACGACUGAGUAUUCAUUGUUUGUGGAACUUGAGAAGCUUCUGCGAGGGUAUGGUACCACGAGGAAGUUUCAAUGGACUGAGAUUUUUAUUAUUCCACGCUUGUACCAAGUUGACACAUGUUUUCACAAACUCUGUGCUUUGAAAUCUCUCAAACUUGGAGGACCUAGUAGUUGAAGAUUGUGUAUCUGUCAAAGGGAUAAUAAAACUGGAGGCAGAGGAUUAUUCAGAUGAAGAAAUCGAUGUUCUUGUUUCGCUCCCUAGAUUGAAAAAAUUAAGGUUUCAGUGUCUACCCGAGUUGGUCAGCAUUGGGAAUGGAUCUUGGCCCUCAUUGGAGCAGAUCAAGAUAUAAGGCUGCCCCAAGUUGAAGAAUCUGCAUGAUUUUCACUCAGCUAAGGCUAUAAAGGAGAUUAGAGCAGAGAAAGAUUGGUGGGACGCAUUGUAUUAGGAAGAAACUAUGAUAUUCUCAAAACUUCAGUCACAUUUCAUACUUUGCAUUUGGGAGGUUGUUCAAUGGCUCGAAACGCUUAUUUACUUGCAGUUACAAGUAUUUGAUGUCUCCUAAGAAAUAUUUGGCAAAAACAAGAUUUAGUUUUUUUUUUUCUUUAUUGACUAGUAUUUGUUUGACCUUAAUCUUGAAUCGAAACCAGAUUAGUUUGUUAA